CCUACGGGAGGCAGCAGUGGGGAAUAUUGCACAAUGGGGGAAACCCUGAUGCAGCGACGCCGCGUGAGUGAAGAAGUAUUUCGGUAUGUAAAGCUCUAUCAGCCGGGAAGAAAAUGACGGUACCUGACUAAGAAGCCCCGGCUAACUACGUGCCCGCAGCCGCGGUCAUACGUAGGGGGCAAGCGUUAUCCGGAUUUACUGGGUGUAAGGGGAGCGUAGACGGCCAGACAAGUCGGAAGGGAAAGCCCAGGGCGCAACCCUGGGACUGCCUUUGAAACUGCCGGGCUGGAGUGCAGGAGAGGUAAGCGGAAUGCCUAGUGUAGCGGUGAAAUGCGUAGAUAUUAGGAGGAACACCAGUGGCGAAGGCGGCUUACUGGACUGUAACUGACGUUGAGGCUCGAAAGCGUGGGGAGCAAACAGGAUUAGAUACCCGAGUAGUC
rnacentral:rRNA from 1 species